rnacentral:lncRNA from 1 species
GUAAGACCCCCACCCCUUCCCCUACAAAAAUUCCUUCAGCCAAACCCCAUCUCUAGAGGGCCGCUCACUCUAACCCCAUAUUCUUAGGUCUACCACCCCUCCCUUUUUCCUCAAGACCAAGCUCUCAUCUCUCCCCUCAUUCCAAAAAGACGCGCACACACAAAGAUGGAGGGAACGAAAUUUGGAUAGAAACUUUAGGUUCUUUAGGUUUCUAUCUUUUCUAAGUUUGGUUAAAAAUUUCAGAAUUUCAAAAAAAUACAAAAACGAAAAAAAAAAUAUUCUUUCAUGUUUCUUCUGCUGGAUCGUCGUUCGAGGUCCAAGUUCGUGGGGUUUCCCGAUUCGCCUCACUACUGUCUUCUUCUUUCAGAUUUUCACCUUUUGUGAAGUUGUUUCAGAAGCUCUAUUUUUCAUAUAUUAAUGAAAGCUUGGUUAACAGGUUCGUUUCUUGAUUUUCUCUUGUCUAUUUAAGUUUAUUUAAUUUGAAUAUUAUUCCACGACAUGUCCUGUUUUAGUUAUGUGAUUAAAUGUUAUAAUCUUGAAUCUGUUUCGUUUAGAUACGUUGGUUGCAAUUCUUUAAUUAACCUUAAGAGUUUACUGCUUUGAACUCUUCAUAAGACAUGUAAUCUAUUUAUGUUAAAUUUAAGUGUUAGUGGAGUAACUUGUGAGGCUAAUAUGAAUUUCAUGUACUAGUGGAAGAGAGUUUAAGAAAAGAUUGAAGCGAUAAGAAUUUAUUUUCCUUGUCUUCAUUUAGUUUAGUAUUCUGUGAUCUUUCUAAUUACCUAAACAUUUAGUUCAUUGAAUGGUUUGAAUGCAUAUUUAAUCGAUUGUUUAUUUCUGUUUUGUUUGUUUUUGUUGCAUUCAUCACUGUUUCUCUGUGGCGGAAGGGUCCUGUGGUUGUGGGUUCAAAAUUAGAUUUAGGGUUUGAUUAAUAUUGAGAAGGAAUCUGAGUUUAAAAAAGGUAUUGCCACCCUCGUUUUUAUCUUUCUUUUAAUUUCUCAGGUCACUAGGAGCAUGCUAGGCCCGUUGAUAUUAUAUAGCUGCCCUUUUUUAUUAGUCCAUAAAUAAUUUUAUAAUAUUCAUAAACAUAUUAGUAGCUUCAGAAACAUUCUUAGUUAACCAGAUUAUUGUGAUUAUGUAUACAUUCGCGUGACAUAAUAACGAUUUUCAAAAUUAAAUCUAGGGUAUGCAUUCACACAACUUUGGGAAAAACAAUCUUACUAGUAAUUAUAAAGUGUUAUUAACUGUGUACACGUACCCGUGACAUGAUUCUGGACACACCAAACAAAAGAGUACACGUACAUAUGACUUGUUUCAAGAUAAUUUCAUAAUUACGAACAAUCAAGCAAUUAAAAGCAGUAAGAAGGUCAAAUGUACAUUGGUUCUAAAAGUGAGUAAUUAAACAAUUUAAUCAAGUCAUGUAUGAUUAAAGCGACUGGGCUAAAAUAACGAAACUCGAGAGUGCCUAACAUCUUCUCCCGGGUUAACGCAAUUCCUUACCCAGUCAUCUAGUUUCGCAGACUUUAAACAGAGUCAAAUUUCUUCGAUUUGAAAUUAAAAUAAACUGGUGACUUGGGACACCAUAAAUUAUCCUAAGUGGAGACUCUAAAAUUGAAUAAAAUAAUUCUAUUUCGAUUAGUGUCACUUAAAUUUGAAAAACUCCCUAUCCCUCAGGAAAAAGGAGGUGUGAUAGUCUUCCUAUUUUCUUUGGCAACCAUACUGCAAGCCUGACACCUUUAUUUGAAUUGGCUAUCUGUUUGAACCAUUUACCUCUCUUGAGUACUUGGUACAUUUAUAAGCUUGUUAAAAGCUAAAUGAGGUAUGGUUGGGGUUUUUAAGUGGAACUAUAGAAAAGCAGAAAGGUGCAGUGUUUGAAAAAAAUUGGGAGAGCUACUGGUAGGGAAUUGAAAAAAGACAAAAAAAUGGUGUUUGUAUAUAUUAUAAAAAAAAUUAUUCCUUGAUAGUGGUAAAUCUUGUUUUGUCUAUGCUUAAAGAAAUUGGGAGCUUGGUGUUAACAUGAUGUGAAGGUUGAGGAUUGGUUUAACAUAAGUGUGGAGGUAGAAUUUGUGAAAUUGUAUGUAUUAAAGUUCUCAGGGAGGUGUAGCCACUAUUAUCCAAAUUGUAUCCUACUCGUCCCGCAGCCUACAUUGCAACUAAAAUUAAGUCCUAUUUGUUCUUUGACUGAAUGAGCUCAAUUAGUAGAGUAUCAUACUGCGGGCAAGCCUAUGGUACGUUUUUUGUGGCACAUGGAUUUUGAUUCUAAGAGUGAGUGAAUUCUUUCUAUCUUUAGUUCCUAUUUGUUCGUGAAUUUUAUUUUGUGUGGAACUACUCUCUAUAUUUUGUUAGUGCGAGGGCACAUGACUUGCGAAGGAAAGGUAAUGACAUUGACCUUUGCGUUAAAGUAGGUAAGCAGGUUGUGAAAAAAUACGUGGUGCUUUUGAGUCAAGUUUUGAGACUAGGAUGUUAUGAUAGGGUGCUUAUUCUUCUUUAAAAAUUCUUAGCAUGAUCUGGCAGGGAAGUUGUUUGAUGAAAAGGUCAUCCCUAUGUGAAGUGUAGUGUGAUUGAUCAAGGAAGAGCAAUGGUAUAAGUGUGGGGUAUUGAUGAUAGGCUGAAAAUCCAUAUUUUAGCCGUAGUAUUGCACUCUAAUUACUGUAGUUUAUAUGUGUUUGAGCUUAAAUGAUAGUGAACUACAAUUAUUAUGUGUUUUAUGCCUUGCAGGAAGUGAUUUUGAGUAAAAAAAGUUAAUUUGGAUCUAAAUAGAACAAGUUAUAGCUUUGAAGUAUAAGUAGAAGCCCAAGAAAUUAAGACGGAAUCACAUUCGGGGGUCGAGGAUUAAGUCCGAAUGUCAAAAAGUGGAUAAAACGAUUUACUCUGAGAAAACAACACUGUUGUGCUGCAUGGGGCACCACAAUAGCGUGGCAUGACUAUGUAAACAUGGUUGCCUGACAGAAUUCAGCUCUCUGAACAUCCUCAUAAGCGCGUCACAUGGCACAGUGCGCCUGUAUAAAUUUCUCAGAGUUAUUUCCUAUUUCGGCUAGGAAAAGGGAGUUUCGUUUGGGCCCGUUCCUACAGAGUACAAAUAUAACAAAAAUAUAUUUUUGAAGGGACUUUUGACCUACGAAAAUUUGAGAAGCAACUAAGGCAAGAAGACACAAGAAUUCAUGAAGAUUUCAACCAACGAUCGGUGCAAUACGGGAGUUUGUGUCGAAUCAUUAUCAUUGAUGUUUUCUUUGUUUUUAAACCUUAUUGAGAUGACUUUUUCUAUUACUAUGGAGUAAUUUCCAUUAGGGUCUUGAUAGAUACGGUAUUUUGAUAAAUUGAUUAGGGAUUCGAUUCUUGAUAAUUGUUGGAAUUAAUUGAUGGAGUUUUAAUUUGUAUUAUGAAUUUAUUUCUUAUUUUGCUUAAUCGAAAGAGGAG